CAGUCUUGGGCAGUUCUUUACAGCAUUAUGAAAGGGGAUCAAUACAUAGGAUUAGACAAAGAUUUCUUUAAGGGAUAUUAAAAGCACAAACCACAAAAGAAAAAUAUUGGUAAAUUAGUUAUCAACACAAUUAAUAAUAGUUCUGUCAUUCUAAAGACAGUAUAAAGAAUGAAAAGGCAAACUUUACCAUACAUAUAUUUGACUCAAGUAUUAGUAUGCAGAACAUGUAAUGAAUUCCCCUCUCUCAAUAAUAUGAAGACAAAUACCAUAUUUAAAUCUUGGCAAAAGAUUUGUAUAGGUAUUUUUAAAAGAAGAUAUAUAAAGCCCAAUAAGCAUAUGAAAAGAUACCCAAUGUCAUUAAUUGGUCAUUAGAAAAAUGCAUAUUUAAACCUUAGUGAGAUGACACUAUACAUCCACUAGAAUGGUUAAAAUUAUAUAAACUGACAACACAAAAAUUUUGCUAGUACAUGGAGUGCCUGGAACUCGUAUAUUUUUAGUGGGAGUGCAAAACUGUGCAACACCUUUGGAAAACAGUUUGGUAGUUUUUGUAAUCUAGUUUUUAUAUAGUUAAACACUUACCAAAGGACUCAGCAAUUCCAUUCUUAGGUAUUUCACCAAAGGAAAUGAAAUCACAUGACCAUACAAAUAUUUGUACAACUUGGUCCUUAGAUAUAUAGGAUGAUGCAUUCUAAAUUCUGUUCUUAAUACCCUUUGUUGGUCAAGAAUUUUAAUUAGAUUUACUAUUCUUUUCCUUUCUUAAAGGACACACCCAGAGGAUCCCAUAGUCAUGGGCUUACUUUGGUACCUCCCUUACUGUGCAGUGGACAGAUGCUCUCCUGGUCUGAUCCUAUGCUGUGUGGUAUUUCAUGAUGGCAUAGAAAUGAAUCUCUUCUAUCAAGAUGAAAACUACAAACGACUGUUUCCAUGAAAGUGAGAAUAAAGAGUUAAUUCGAAGGUGAUGGGGAGGACAGAGGCUGUACUCCACGUGGUCAUUCAGGUAUUCAGGCUGAUGGAGGCUCUGUUAAAUUCACACCAUGGCUUCUAACAUUAUUCUGGAGGGAUUAAUUACAUGGUCAACAGCUGGAAUUUACAAGGAGGCAAAUUAAAUAAAAUAGCAGACAAGCAUGAACUGCAUUCCCACAAAAGCCAUAAAAUGGGAAUACCAAGAGAACUGGCAAAUGGCUGCCUUAGUAAAGUACAGAGGUGAAGUGGAGCAAGAUGGCAGAAUAGCAAGCUCCUUUGAUGGCCAUCCGCACAAAUGUCUACACAGAAAAAGCACCUUCACAAGAACCAAAAAUCAGCCUGUUUUGUGCAACUUCCAAGUCAAGAUUAUGAACAUUUUCAGACUUUUUGCAAGACAGAAUUCAAUGGAUUAACAAUCAGCCUUGACUUUGCUGGAGAACACAAAGGAUGUUGGAUACUUCUUGAAAGCAGUAAAAACAAUUUUGACAGAAAGAUAAGAAUAGUCUAAUUUAUAGUGAUAAGGAAAUCCUGGGCAUGAAGUCUACUGCUGCUGGUAAAGUUGGACUAACAGAGUUCAAUUAAAUCUCAUGCCUGAAGUAACUUAAAAACUGGAAAAAAUUUUAAGAAAAAAAUGGGUUUUAGGCAUUGGAAAUAUAGCAAUAAAGAACAGUAAUCCCAGAAAGAUAGGAAAAAAAUGAGGUGACCCUCCAGCAGCCCCAGUUUACUGACUGGAGAGAGUUUCAGGAAACAGUACAGGGAGAGAGAACUGGGUAGGAUCUGGCAGUUUUGUAUGAGAUGAGGAGACAGAUCUUAGAAUCCAGAGAGAUCAACAAAACUAGAGGUUGCAAGGCAUAGUAUCAGAAGAGAGAGCCAUCCAGAGAAAUCUCUACAUCUGUAGAGAGUGCUAUUUGAAUCUUCAGCUGAGUUCAGAUCAGUGCAUUCAUGUGAGCGUAAGUAGCCAAAGGUGGAGGAAGAGCCAACCAAAAGGAUAAGAUGGAACACACAGGGUGAGAAAUGUUUUUUAUUCUAACCAUGCAGAGUGGAAGACCCCAUCAUUCACAGAACACUGGGUAGAAAAGUCAGAAAGAUUUUACCUCAGUAUUAGGGCUAAAUUAGCCCUACACUAAUCAUCACUCUUUUUCUUCCCAGUGAAGCUUAAACAUAGAUCUCAAAGGUAUCAAACUGUAUCCAUGUUUCUUAAUUGCAUCACAAAAAUAGGUCAAUAUUUAUUUAAAGGAAUACAAAUAUAGCUAACACAAAGUUAAAUUGACAAUAUCUAGCAUCCAAUCAAAAAUUACCAGGUAUGUAAAGAAAAAGGAAAAUAGGACCCAUUUUGAGGAGAUAAAUCAAUCCAUUGAAAUUGACAUGGGACAGGGCAUGGUGGCUAACACCUGUAAUCCCAAC